GUCACUGCCGCCGGCGGCCGUUGCGGCCGUUGCCGCCGCCGUCGCCGUCGCCGUCGCCUCCUCCUCCUCUUUCCCCCCCCUCCUGCCGUAACGUCCUGACGCUCCGCAGGGACCCCUGACUGGACGGACGGAGGAUGUGAGACUGUACCUCCUUUUUCCCCCAGAGGACUGCCAGUGGGACACUGCUUAGAACAUCAGGCGUUUUUGACCGGUUGAUUACUUUUGUUAAACUACUUUUUCCUCUUAUUCUUGUUGGAAUGGCUCUGAGAGGGGAAAUGGAGGAUAGGAUGGGAAAUGUAUGUGAAGUAAAAGUAAAAUAUGUCAAUAAAAACUUUUAAAAGCCAAAGGAAAGAAAGUGGAUUUUGUAGCUCACUCAAAAAUACAUAAGCUACAUAGCUAAGGCAUGUUUAACUGUGCUUCCAGCCAUUUGUUUUAAAACUAGUUAAUUCAUUGGGUGGUUUUGAUAUCUUCCAGUAUUUUACUAUAAUAAAAAUCUCAUUCCAAGAGAUCUUGGUCAUGUCAGUAUAGGGUAUAAUAUGAGACCUUUCAUUUUAUCAAGUGACACAUAUUCUGAAAACUUGGUCUAGUUCAUUCAUAUAUAUGUAUGAUAGCCAGAAUAAGAGCCUGAAAACAAGUGCAGCAUGAAGUAAAUGUUAACUGUUAUAAUAUAAAUGCCCUGGAAAUUUGGAAGUUGUGUUGGAUCAACAUAGCCAGUAGUAAAAUUUAUUAGUUCAAUAGUUGGGUACAUUUAACAGAAACAUGUUUGAGAGAGUGAUUAAGUACCUAUACAUUCUUAGGGAAACCUGAGUCUUCAAUCCAGCUUAGUGGUGAGGUAAUUCUUGGAUUCCUUUUUAAUUACUUAAUACAUACUUCUAAAUUUCUGAGCAUUAGAAAUUUUCUUUAAAUAAAAUAGAAGCACAUAGUUUAAUACCAGCUUUAUUCUUUUUUAUCUUCACUUCUUUUGCACAACAACAACCUUAAGUUGACAAUGAAAAUGCACUAAAGGAACUAGAUGAUGUCAGAUUGGUAGGAAAUCCAUCACAAGCUUCUUGUUCUAUAUGUUUGAAAGCUGUACACACUAUUUUAUGAGGAAUGGAUCCUACACAGGGCCAGCAGCAUUAAAACCCAAACUUAAUCCAUUGAGGGCUGUGCUGAGUGCCUUUUUGGCUUUGACUUUGUCAGUGGUCUGGCCUUUUAAAAAAAAAAUUGGAUUAAUUAAAUGGAGGAUAUGAUCCACCAGCUUAAUGAUAAAAGAAGCCUUAAUAGUGGCCAGCACUCCCUUUUUGUUCCAUAAAGGACACCUAACUGAUGCAUUAUUAGGCCUAAUAUAUCACUUUAUCCCCUAGCAUGGUUAGGAACUAAAUCACUAUAGCACCAUAAUCAGCCUUUCUCUGACCACGUGGGGAUAAAAGUGUGUCAGUGUAUACAUAAUACAUGGAUGUACAUGUCUGCACAUCAUAGUGGAUGCAUACACAUUACAGAUGUUUGUUUGAAAUAAUGAAGGUUCAAUAAAAUGCUAGAGUACAGCAGACAAAGGUGAACUAUGCAAUAUAAGAUCAUUGUUAGAAAACCACAUUUGCCCAGUGACCAACCUGAAUGAAAAGUUGAAAUUUCAGUUUUAAAUGGUUACUUAAUAGUCUUUGUAUGGAGUGUGUAUUAAUUUGUAAACAACUAUUUGCACUGACAGUUUGCACUUGGUAUUUCUAUUUUAUCUUUAUAUUUCUACCACAAAAAUCGUUUACUACAAAACCAAUCUCCCUCCUACCCCAUGACUGCAACCUAUGUAUGGUAUGAAUAUUAUACCAGGACUACCCUGAUUUGACAGCUUGGAGGGCAUAACCAAAAGUUUAAAGAGGAAAGGGACUAUAAUUGCAAAUGCCCUACAUCCAUAGAUUCUCAUUCAUUCUCUCUCUCACACAUACACACACACACACACACACACACUUUCCCAGAAUAACUAAUCUUAUCUGACAACUCUGCACAGAGAAAAUGGCAUUGGAUUGGGGUUUUUUCCUACUUAACCCCUUUUACAAAAUCCUAAUCGCUUUUCUGACAUUUUUACUUCUCCAGGGUUUCCAACAACAUCUUUAUUUUUUUUUUUUUGCUCUCCUUAUUUUCCUCCUUUAAAGCCAUGGAAAGCUAUGAUAGGAG